rnacentral:rRNA from 1 species
GUGAAGCGGCAACAGCUCAAAUUUGAAAUCUGGCGCUUUCAGUGCCCGAGUUGUAAUUUGUAGAGGAUGUUUCGGCGUCGGCGCCACCUGAAGUUCCUUGGAACGGGACGUCAAAGAGGGUGAGAGCCCCGUGUAUGGGUGGCUGACUUCGCCAUGUGAAACUCCUUCGACGAGUCGAGUUGUUUGGGAAUGCAGCUCAAAACGGGAGGUAAAUUUCUUCCAAAGCUAAAUACCGGCCAGAGACCGAUAGUGCACAAGUAGAGUGAUCGAAAGAUGAAAAGCACUUUGGAAAGAGAGUCAAACAGCGCGUGAAAUUGUUGAAAGGGAAGCGCUUGAGGUCAGACUUGGCCGCCGUUGCUCGGCGGGGCCUGUGCCCCGUUUGCUCUUCGGCGAUCAGGCCAGCAUCAACUCGGACGGUUGGAUAAAGGCCGCGGGAAUGUGGCUCUUCGGAGUGUUAUAGCCCGUGGUGGAAUGCAGCCAGUCUGGGUUGAGGUCUGCGC